UCCAUCUUUUUAAAACCAUGCCCUGGCCCAGAGGGGUGUGGUUUCCCAAAGCACAUGGUGGAAUUUCUGGUUUAUCCACUUCCUCCAACUCAAGUUGCUCACAGAGGCACUGCCCCUCCCAGUUUCUCUCAAGAGGAAGCCAUUUACGACCCCCCAAUUUAACAUUUGCCUGAGCCAAGGAAGGCUCAUUGUUCUGUUUCCUUGCUCCCAGGUGCUCCUCCCCUGAAUCAAUCAGAGAGGUGUAACCUCCUUUUGGUGGGGGCAGCAGAAGGCAGCCAGGCCUGGGAAUGCAGUGGCUGAGCAAGUUUCAUCUCCUGUCGGGGGUAGUUGCCGGGCAGAAUUCACUCUCUUCAAGCCAGGUUUCAGCCAAAUGUCACUUUUGUUCCCAGUUUUUCUUCAUUCAAAUCAAACUUACAAUUUUUACACAUGCAGCUAGAAUGCUGAUUCUAAGUUCAAAACUAUGACAUUUAACAGUUGCAAACUAUGUGACACUCAACAGUAGGUCACUCAUUUAUUUUAAACAUUUAGAUUUUAGUGGCUUUCAGUCCAAUUUAACUUAAGCUGCUGACAUCCACAGCUCAGCCAGUUUCAUUAUGAACAUUAUUUUAGGCUCUUUCUUUUCCCAGAUUUUGUAUGCACACAAGACUUCAUUCUGCCAAAUGUCUGCUGGUGUUAGUGAGAUUUUUGAAUAUCUUGCAAUGUUUAAAAUAGGCAUUUUUAGCUGGCAUUUCAGAGAAACAAAGGUGAUUUCAAAGUGCUUUUUGAUCUAACAGGCACUGCUGUUUUUCCUUUGGCACCACGUUUCACUCAUGGCGCUUCUGGCCCAACACACUCGCACUGGUGGGUGGCAUAUUAGGCGACCAUUUUGUUAUGCGCCAAAUCUGCGCGGUUUUCCUGGAUUCUGGCGCAAUGUGAGCUUUUUCGGCCAUCUUGUAUUUUCUGAGCCCACAGCACCAAAUGUUGUAGCAUAAUAGUCCAAACGUGGGUCAGGUCACCCAACAGGGAUGAACCGAACACUGGGUUAAGGCGGUAGAUGCCGACGCUCCCCAGACCCCGAAUCAACUAACCUAGAAAAGAGAUGACACUGGAGUGCUGUAGUCUUACCCUGCCUUCACCGGGGCUGAGAGCUGCAGGGGCUAAUCCAUGUCAAGUAGGAUGGCUGCUGUGGUGCACACAUAAGUCAAUGCGAGGGCCCGGCUGGAACUGCCGCUGGUGCAGACGUUGGUGAUAGUAGCACAUAUUCAAAUGAGAAUUUGAUGGCUGAAAUGGAGAAGGAUUAAAUGUAAACAGCAGUUGAACAUGGAUAAGUCGAUCCUAAGGGAUGGUCGAGUGAUAUUUGGAAGGGUUGGCCUUUGCUGCCCUCAGCCGAUCCAAAGGGAGCUGGGUUUAGAUCUCCGAACCCAGAGUGGCAGGGAUGGGCACCCUUGCGGUAUCCAGUACAUGAACGCAAACAAUCCAGAGGAAUCUGUCAGUAACCCCUAGGAGAGUUGGCUUUUCUUUGUGAAGGGAAGGGCACUCUGGAAUGGGUACACCCUGAGAGAGGGGUCCGAGCAUUAGAAAGUGUUGUGGAUCCAGUGGAAUCUGAUGAGCUGUCCCUGUUCCUUGAAAUUCCAGGGGAGAUGGUGUUAAUCUUGCACCAGAUGGUACCCAUUUCCGCAGCAGGUGUCCAAGGUGAUGUAGGUAAGGGAAGAUGACAAGUCGGAUCCUUAACUUUGGGAUGAAUAUUAGCGCUAAGAGCUGGGUUGGUAAGACUGGGUGCGAAACGGGGCUGAGCAUGCUCCAAGGCUGGAUGAAGCAUCUUGCCUGCCUGGGGGGGCAGCCCGACGCUGGACACGAGCUGGGCCCUUCCUGUGGCUCACCCCAGCUGUGGUGGUCAUCCCUCAACCUUUCCUUUGGGGUUCAAGGCUGGCAUUCUGCAUUGACGGAUGCCUAGUAGCUGAUUCAGAACUGGUGUAGACAUGGGGAAUCUGACUGUUUAUUUAAAACAAAGCAUUGUGAAGAACUGCACUGGGUGUCGAAGCAACAUGAUUUCCGCCCAGUGCUCUGAAUGUCAAAUUGAAGAAAUUCAAUGAAGCACGAGUAAACAGCAGGAGUAACUAUAAAUCUCUUAUGGUAGCCAAAUGCCUUGUCAUCUAAUUACUGAUGAGCAUGAAUGGAUGAACGAGAUUCCCACUGUCCCUACCUACCUUAUAGAGAAACCACAGCCAAGGGAAUGGGCUUUGUGGAUCCUGGCUUUAGUUUGGCCCUGUGAAGGGUCAUGCGAGGUGCUGAAUAAGUGGGAUGCUCUAGGGCCGCCGGAGAAAUGCCACUACUCUUAUCAUUUUUUCACUUGCCUAGUAAAGCAGGGGGGCAAGCCCUGUGGGGCUCUUGCUUCUGGCUCUAAGCACCCAUCACCCGCUGUGCGUGACUUGCUCAGGGACAGUGGCUGGUGGGGAGUUUGACUGUGGUGGUACACCUGUAAAAUGAUAACUCAGCUGCCCUAAGGCAAGCUCAGGGAGGACAGAAACCUCCCGCAGAGCAGAAGGGCAAAAGCUUUCUUGAUAUCGAUUUUCAGUAUGACUACAGAGCAUGAAAGUGGGCCCUCACAAUCCUUCAGACUUUUUGGGUUUCAAGCAGGAGAUGUCAGAAAGGUUACCACAGGGAUAAAUAACUGGCUUGUGGUGGCCAAAAGAUCAUAGUGAUAUCACUUUUUAAUCCUUCGAUUUUGGCUCUUCCUAUCAUUGCGAAGCAGAAUUUGCUAAUCAUUGGAUUGUUCACCCACCAAUAGGGAACGUGAGUUGCGUUUAGAGUAUUGUGAGACAGGUUGCUUUUAUCCUACUGAUAAUGUGUUGUUGGAAUAGUAAUCAUGCUCAGUACGAAAGGAACAACAGGUUCAGACAUUUGGUGUAUGUGCUUGGAUGAUGAGCGAAUGGAGCGAAGCUACCAUUUCUGGGUUUAUGAUUGAACGCCUCUAAGUCAGAAUAUCCCCUAGACCCAUUAACAAUACUGCAGCGCCCUGGAGCCUUGGUUGGGCUAGGGAAGACAGCUUCUUAGCCGGUGCAUAGAGCCACUUAUCUUGGGACUGAAGUGUGGAGAGAUCAGUGUCACCUCU
rnacentral:rRNA from 1 species